AGUUAAGUGACUAAGCGUACACGGUGGAUGCCUUGGCAAUCAGAGGCGAAGAAGGACGUGCUAAUCUGCGAAAAGCGUGGGGGAGCUGAUAAGGAGCGCAAAUCCCACGAUGUCCGAAUGGGGAAACCCGAUAGGUGAAGAAUCUAUCAUUGUUGUCUGAAUUCAUAGGGCAACAAGGCAAACCGGGAGAACUGAAACAUCUAAGUACCCCGAGGAAAAGAAAUCAACCGAGAUUCUGCGAGUAGCGGCGAGCGAAAGCGGAGGAGCCAGCGAGUGAUAGCAUAAGUUUUAGGAGAAUUGUCUGGGAAGGCAAGCGAGAGAGGGUGACAGCCCCGUAUCCGAAAAGACGGAUGUGGUACUAAGCACGCGAGAAGUAGGGCGGGACACGAGGAAUCCUGUUUGAAGAAGGGGGGACCAUCCUCCAAGGCUAAAUACUCCUGAUUGACCGAUAGUGGACCAGUACCGUGAGGGAAAGGCGAAAAGAACCCCGGGAGGGGAGUGAAAGAGAACCUGAAACCGUGUACGUACAAGCAGUGGGAGCCUGAAAGGGUGACUGCGUACCUUUUGUAUAAUGGGUCAGCGACUUAUAUUUUGUAGCGAGGUUAACCGGAUAGGGGAGCCGAAGGGAAACCGAGUCUUAACUGGGCGGUUAGUUGCAAGAUAUAGACCCGAAACCCGGUGAUCUAGCCAUGGGCAGGAAGAAGGUUGGGUAACACUAACUGGAGGGCCGAACCGACUACUGUUGAAAAAGUAGCGGAUGACCUGUGGCUGGGGGUGAAAGGCCAAUCAAACCGGGAGAUAGCUGGUUCUCCCCGAAAUCUAUUUAGGUAGAGCCUUAUAUGAAUACCUUCGGGGGUAGAGCACUGUUUCGGCUAGGGGUCCAUCCCGGAUUACCAACCCGAUGCAAACUGCGAAUACCGAAGAGUAAUGUAUAGGAGACACACGGCGGGUGCUAACGUUCGUCGUGGAGAGGGAAACAACCCAGACCGCCAGCUAAGGUCCCAAAGUCUAUAUUAAGUGGGAAACGAAGUGGAAAGGCUUAGACAGCUAGGAUGUUGGCUUAGAAGCAGCCACCAUUUAAAGAAAGCGUAAUAGCUCACUAGUCGAGUCGGUCUGCGCGGAAGAUGUAACGGGGCUAAAAUAUAGCACCGAAGCUGCGGCAUCAGGCGUAUCACACAUACGCCUUACGAUUAACACCUUGCGGAGCAAGGUGGUCAAGCGACUUACACGUUGAGGUGUGAGCGGGAGGGAUAAUCGAAGAGAGGAAUAUGUGUGAUACGUCUGUUGGGUAGGGGAGCGUUGUGUAAGCUGAAGAAGGUGGUUCGAGAGGGCUGCUGGAGGUAUCACAAGUGCGAAUGCUGACAUAAGUAACGAUAAAGCGGGUGAAAGGCCCGCUCGCCGGAAGACCAAGGUUUCCUGUCCAACGUUAAUCGGGGCAGGGUGAGUCGGCCCCUAAGGCGAGGCUGAGAAGCGUAGUCGAUGGGAAAUGGGUUAAUAUUCCCAUACUUGGAUAAACUGCGAUGUGGGGACGGAGCAGGUUAGGUUAGCGUACGGAUGGAAGAGUACGUUUAAGUUGGUAGGUGGGGUGUUUAGGCAAAUCCGGGCACCUGAUAACACUGAGAGAUGAUGACGAGGCUCUACGGAGCUGAAGUAACUGAUACCCAACUUCCAGGAAAAGCCACUAAGCUUCAGGUUUAUCUAAACCGUACUGGAAACCGACACAGGUGGUCAGGUAGAGAAUACUAAGGCGCUUGAGAGAACUCGGGUGAAGGAACUAGGCAAAAUAGCACCGUAACUUCGGGAGAAGGUGCGCUGGCGUAGUGUGAAGUUCUUCGCGAAUGGAGCAUGAACCAGUCGAAGCGACGAGCUGGCUGCAACUGUUUAAUAAAAACACAGCACUCUGCAAACACGAAAGUGGACGUAUAGGGUGUGAUGCCUGCCCGGUGCUGGAAGGUUAAUUGAUGGUGUCAUCGAAAGAGAAGCACCUGAUCGAAGCCCCAGUAAACGGCGGCCGUAACUAUAACGGUCCUAAGGUAGCGAAAUUCCUUGUCGGGUAAGUUCCGACCUGCACGAAUGGCAUAAUGAUGGCCAGGCUGUCUCCACCCGAGACUCAGUGAAAUUGAAAUCGCCGUGAAGAUGCGGUGUACCCGCGGCUAGACGGAAAGACCCCGUGAACCUUUACUAUAGCUUGACACUGAACCUUGAAUUUUAAUGUGUAGGAUAGGUGGGAGACUAAGAAGCGGUAACGCCAGUUAUCGUGGAGUCGGUGUUGAAAUACCACCCUUUAACGUUUGAUGUUCUAACGAGGCGCCUGGGACAGGUGUUCGGACAGUGUCUGGUGGGUAGUUUGACUGGGGCGGUCUCCUCCCAAAGCGUAACGGAGGAGCACGAAGGUUGGCUAAUGACGGUCGGACAUCGUCAGGUUAGUGCAAUGGUAGAAGCCAGCUUAACUGCGAGACGGACAAGUCGAGCAGGUACGAAAGUAGGUCAUAGUGAUCCGGUGGUUCUGAAUGGAAGGGCCAUCGCUCAACGGAUAAAAGGUACUCCGGGGAUAACAGGCUGAUACCGCCCAAGAGUUCAUAUCGACGGCGGUGUUUGGCACCUCGAUGUCGGCUCAUCACAUCCUGGGGCUGAAGUAGGUCCCAAGGGUAUGGCUGUUCGCCAUUUAAAGUGGUACGCGAGCUGGGUUUAGAACGUCGUGAGACAGUUCGGUCCCUAUCUGCCGUGGGCGUUGGAGGAUUGAGGGGGGUUGCUCCUAGUACGAGAGGACCGGAGUGAACGCACCGCUGGUGUUCGGGUUGUCAUGCCAAUGGCAUUGCCCGGUAGCUAAGUGCGGAAGAGAUAAGUGCUGAAAGCAUCUAAGCACGAAACUUGCCCCGAGAUGAGUUCUCCCUGACGUAGAGUCAGUAAGGGUUGUUGAAGACGACGACGUAGAUAGGUGGGGUGUGUAAGCGGUGUGAGCCGUUGAGCUAACCCAUACUAAUUGCCCGAGAGGCUUAACUAU
rnacentral:rRNA from 1 species